CUUAAUUCCGCCUCCUCCUCCCUCUCGCUCUCCCUCUCUCUCUCUCUCUCUCUCUCUCUCUCUCUCUCUCUCUCUCCUAAGUUCUUCGAACUGGUCUUAGAACCUUUGAUCUCUAUCAAGUUCUUCGAACCGGUCUUAGAACCUUUGAUUCUGCAAUCUCUUCUUCAAUGCAAAACACCAUGGCAAAAACCCAGCACUUGUGAGUCAGGCUGCCCUUUACAGAACCUCCGAUCGGCCAUUACGAAGUGAUAUCGCUACCAUACACCAAAUUCAAAUCACACACCAAGACUUAGCAACACAAUUUCCUCUACACGGCUUCGAUCGAGAUACAGCCUAAACCCAGCCAGACAAACACACCACAGCUAUGCAUCAACUUGACAGAUAGAAGUAUCAGAUCAGCAGAAGCAGAGUACUGCAACUAGGGAUAUGUAAUUGGUUAUCAACUUAUCUCAUAUCCGGAUUUAUAUCCAUAAGUGUCCGACUCUAUUACAUAGGGUUCGGGGUACUCUAUAUUUGGGUUUGAGAUGAGUAUGGACAAGAAUUUUGUUACUCAUCUUGAGUUGGAUAUUACUCUUUAAAUAUCCGAUAACCAAACUCAAUUAUAUAUUUAUGCUUCCAAGGGGAUUGUGGGGAUCAAACUUGGGCAAUGCAAUUGGACAACCAAGAGCAUGGCCAAUUUAACCAAAUCUUCUUUUUAAUGCCAUAUGAUUAGAAGUUA